GUCUUGGUAGCUUAACUUAAAGCCUUGAUUUUGUAAAUCAAAAAUGGGUAUCACCACCCCCAGAACA
rnacentral:tRNA from 1 species